CAGGGGUGCCCCGUUUACUCAGCCCACAGCUCUCAACUCCUCAUAGGAGGGAGUGAGCAAGCCAACAAGGCGGGAACUGGAAUACACGAGUGCUAGAAUCAGCUGGCUACUUCAUAGCUGGCAAGAGCAAACUCCACUCACUCAGACCCGCUGCUUUCCACCCCUCGUCGGACAGGGCACACAGGUAACCAAAGAAUCUGACCCAUAGGGUUUCUAACUCACAAAAGGAGGGUCCAACUAUGUGGAAGCUGUCACCUUUGAUGGAAUUUAUCUGAUACCAUAUAACAUAGUGGAAGGAGAGUCAAAGAAUUUGUGGCUAUUUUAAGUCACACAUCAUUUCUUUUUCCAUGCCCCACCCCUGGAACCUUCUCAAGGUGUUUGACUUCAACCAGAGUUGAAGAUCCCCCAUCUGCAAUACUGCUGCACCCCCACCUCAAGCCCCAGCUGAUUGAACCCCAGGUGGAUUCCUGAUUCAGGCAAUCCACAGGCUGGGCUGAAGCAAUCAUGAUGUCUCUCUAAGGAAUAUUAAUUAAAAGCCACAGAGACCCCAGUCAGUUUUAAGGAGGUGUGCCGCCAGAAACCAGGGUCAGCACCAUACCAAACCAAAGUUAUGGAGGAGUAAAAACCAAAAGUCUUGCAGAAGCAGCAGAUUUGGAGACAAAAAAAGCAGAACCCACAUGCAGAAAGAAAAGAGAGGCACCACGUGACCCUUGAGACAAAGUGACAGACAUUCCAGUGCUGCCAGACAGAUUUCCAGUAUCUGUGAGGUCCUGCUGUGCACCAGAGAAGAGAGUUCUGGGAAAACCCCUGCUAUGGGUUGAACUGUAUUCCCCAAACAUUCAUAUGUUGGAGCCUUAACCUCCAGGACCUUAGAAUGGGACCUUACUUGGAAAUAGAGUCAUUGCAGAUGUAAUUAGUUAAGCUGAGUUCCUACUGGAGUAGGGUGGGCCCCUAAUCCAAUAUAUUGUUGUCCUUAUAAAAAGGGGAAGUCUGGAGAAUAGUUAUCCUUCCAAGAUAAACUAUUUGCCAAAUAUGUAACAGAGUAACCAGCCAUUUCCAUAUGGGAUUUCUAGUCAUUUCCCAGUUAAAAAUUAAGGAAUAGGUACACGCAGUAAGAGCACUCAGUGAAGAUGAGGGCAGAGAUCAAGAUGCCACAUCUACAAACCAAGGAACACCAAAGAUUGCCAGAAACUAUCAGAAGCUAGGGGAAAGGCAUGGAACAGUUACUUCUUCACAGCCGUCAGAAGGAACCAACCCUGUUGACACCCGGACCUCAGACGUGAAGCCUCCAGAACCGUGAGAUACAAAAUUCCUGUUGUUUAAGCCACUCAGUUUGUGGUACUUUGUUAUGGCAGCUCUGGAAAAUGAAUAUGACCCCUAUAACUGCAUUUCCAUGUGAGCUCAUUUAAGUGGGUGUCUGUUCCUUGAAGAAGAAAAAUGAUAUGAAUCAAAACAUCCCACCUAAACUGCCUUUGCUCUGAGCAGAGGGAACACCCUCUGGCAGAGCCAGGGUUCUUCUCAGAAAAUUAUUCCCAGUCUCCUCCAGGACUAAGAUAAAUGAAUGAGCAAAGUUUAAAAGUUCUCUUCUAAAGAACAUGGUCAAAAUAGUUUUAGCCUGUAAAAUUUGAAGGCAGAUAAAACCAGAAUUCAGCCUUGGCAGAAUAAACUCUCAAUAAAGUAACCUCAGAUCCUUAGCUCCGAACACCACUUUUUUUUUUCCUGUAUUCCUUCCAAGAUAAACUAUUAGCCAGAUAUGUAACAGAGUAACCAGUCAUUUUUAUAUGGGAUUGUUAUUCAUUGCCCAGUUGAAAAUUAAAGAAUCAGUACAAAAAAAAAAAAAACAAAACACUUUUGUUCUAGGAAAGAGAAUCAGAUAUCCUUUUUUAGCAAUAAUUAACUAGCAAGGUCGUGCUGUCACCACGGUUUUUAAAAUACCCUUUUGUCUUUCAUGGCAAGUGUAUGCAUCUAGACCAUCUGAAAGUGGCUCUAGAACAUGAAAAUAUAAAUGUAAAACAAGAAAGGGGCAGGAAAAGAAUGAGGAGCAGGCAAAACAUAACCACGUGUUGGCUAUUUCUAACUCCCUGGUCCAGGAGUACUCAUUAAUCACUCUAAUCCCACAGAAGUAUAAUGAUUCUGAAUAUCUACAUAUGCCACAAAUUAUCUAAUACUGUUCCUGAUUUACUAGGUGUGGAGUGGCCAUAUAUAAAACCUGACUGUUACUCACAUAAAAUAUUGGCCUGAAACUCUCAGACUUCGAAGCAAGUAGCAGAUUUGGAUGGAAUACACCACAAAUUAAUAAAGCCAUAAUCUAGAGAAGAAAUAAUCCUCAUAAAGAAUGAAGAGGCAGCCAAAAAGAGCCUUAAAG
rnacentral:lncRNA from 10 species